GACCAUCUAAAAUAUGACAUUUUAUACAGUGGCGGACGCAGAAAUUACGUUUAGGGGGGCUAAAUUAUAUAUUUUCAAUGGACAAAAGUCUGAGGGAGUCAGUUAUGUAUACUUUAAUAGACCAAUAGCAAAAUAAUCAAAACUAAUAGAGAUUUUUCAAAUGUUUGCCACUGGCAUUAACCACGCUAUCUAAAGGGUCUUGCGUGACGCGUAUUUGGAUCAUAUCAAAUAUAGUAGCCAAAUAUCACCACAUACUAUUAUUGCAGUUUCUUGAACCAUAUUGAUUUAGUUUCUAAAAAGACCAAACAAGAAUCUCAUUUUUCUCUUAUUAAAGGUGAUCACUUUAUUCAUUAAAAUGAAAUACAUAAUUGAAAAACUCGACUUUAAUACUUAAAAGAUACCACUUCAGCAUGAUGACUUGGUAUCAAUACGCAAAACUUUCUUCUAUCGUAGGUAUGUCUUUUGUGUGACUAAACAAGAACAUGUGUAUUCAACAAAUACAGGACAAUGAAAUGCCAGGUCCAAUCUGCCACGCUAAUUAAUAAUGGUAAAUUACAUAUCAUAUCCUUGUACUUUAAUUGAUAUUGCACAUUGUACCCUUCAAUUUUGAUUGUAACAGUCAACACUUUAUACUUUAGAUCAAUUGUCAACAUAUUUUUAUGUUACAAAAAGUGGCAAAAAAAGGACAUGUGGACUGAAGGGUCACGUUGACACUUGACCUAAAGAGUAAGUGAAGGGUGAAAGGUGAAAUUUUAGUAAAAUUUUAGGAGUGAGAAAAGACUAAUUUUUCCAAAAUUUAAAAUCCGUGGUGCGUGUGAAUAUGUCCACCGUCGUGGUGGUGCCCUACAUGAAUGUGUCCACCAUCGUGGUGGUGCCCCGUGUGAAUGUGUUCACCGUCGUGGUGAUGCCCCACAUGAAUGUGUCCACCAUCGUGGUGGUGCCCCAUGUGACUGUGUCCACCGUCGUGACCAUGGUUGUGGUGCCCCGUAUGCCCGUGAUGUGUAUGAUCUUGUCCACCGUGGUGUCCACAUUCAUGGUGUUGGUUGUCACCUCCGUCGUCACCUCCACCGCCACCAUCGUCGGCAUCACCUCCAUCAGCGCCUUUGUCGCCACCACCGUCACGGUGAUGGUGCUCACCUGGAUCAUCAUCAUCACAACAGGCUAGAACCACCAUAGAUAUGAUGGACAGUGACACCACAAUACCACACACCAACAUCAACAAACCACUAGAGAUUGGUAAAACACCGCCAUAAUCGCUUAUGGGAUUCAAGAUUCUAGCCAUCUUAAUUGAUAUCUUUUCAAACAACUUUGUAUACGUCCUAAGCCCCUACACAGGAUAUACAUAUGUAUAGACAGAC
rnacentral:lncRNA from 1 species